rnacentral:rRNA from 1 species
UACGUAGGGGGCAAGCGUUGUCCGGAUUUAUUGGGCGUAAAGAGCGUGUAGGCGGCUAGAUAGGUCCGUUGUGAAAACUCGAGGCUCAACCUCGAGACGUCGAUGGAAACCAUCUGGCUAGAGUCCGGAAGAGGAGAGUGGAAUUCCUGGUGUAGCGGUGAAAUGCGCAGAUAUCAGGAAGAACACCCGUGGCGAAGGCGGCAUCCUGGACCGACACUGACGCUGAGGAGCGAAAGCCAGGGGAGCAAACGGG